rnacentral:rRNA from 1 species
AACGAACGCUGGCGGCAGGCUUAACACAUGCAAGUCGAGCGCCCCGCAAGGGGAGCGGCAGACGGGUGAGUAACGCGUGGGAACCUACCCAUCUCUACGGAAUAACGCAUGGAAACGUGUGCUAAUACCGUAUACGUCCUUCGGGAGAAAGAUUUAUAGGAGAUGGAUGAGCCCGCGUUGGAUUAGCUAGUUGGUGGGGUAAAGGCCUACCAAGGCGACGAUCCAUAGCUGGUCUGAGAGGAUGAUCAGCCACACUGGGACUGAGACACGGCCCAGACUCUUACGGGAGGCAGCAGUGGGGAAUAUUGGACAAUGGGCGCAAGCCUGAUCCAGCCAUGCCGCGUGAGUGAUGAAGGCCCUAGGGUUGUAAAGCUCUUUCACCGGUGAAGAUAAUGACGGUGACCGGAGAAGAAGCCCCGGCUAACUUCGUGCCAGCCGCCGCAGUAACAC